CCUUCGAUAGCUCAGUUGGUAGAGCGGAGGACUGUAGGUUGAUAAUUGCAUGCUCUGUUCAAUUCUUCAAAGGA
rnacentral:tRNA from 1 species